rnacentral:tRNA from 1 species
GCCGGGAUGGCCGAGUGGAUUAACCUCAUACUUGAGGGUCAAGAGGCGCAGUAAAUUCAUUGCGUAAGCCUUGAAUGAUCUCACAGAAAGCCUGUGACCCUUACGGGUCUCGUGGGUUCGAAUCCCACUCCCGGCG